rnacentral:lncRNA from 1 species
ACAUUCGCUGCUCUGAGGACCUGCGUGAGGACGUUUCCUGCCGCCGCUGCCUGAAGGGUGGCCCGGCCCGGCUGAGGGGCCCGCUGCCGCCAACGGCCCUGCGGCCGGCGGGAGGUGGCGGCGGGAGGGCAGGUGCUGCCGCGGGCGGGCAGGCAGGCAGCGGCCCCGGUCGAGGUGAUGGGAAGGGAACUCGGUAGAGCCGCGGCCGGCCCGCCGGGAGCGCGGGGGGUGCCUGCGGACCCUGCGGACAGCUCACCGGAGGGAGGACGAGGAAACAAGUUCUCCAAAUUUCAUGGAGGUUUCAUUGCUUGCUCUCUCCUGCUCCCAGCCGACCAACACUGAAAAUAGGAGAAUCACCCCUUCUCUGCAGCCCCAGGAGACUGUUGGAAAUUUAUUCUCUUAUCCUUCAGUGUCAACAAAACCUCAAAAGGCAACCGGCUAAACAGGUGGAACUGAUCUGUGUUGUCCUUCACUGCUUUAACACACCAUAACCUCUGUGUGGGGAAAAACAUCUUUUGUCUUUCACAGCACCCUGUCCCACACAGGUAACAUCAGAUGCCACGUAAAGAUGACAGGAGUGUCACUCAAAUAGUGACAUCCAUGAGGUGCAGUGCGGAGCCCCUAGUCUCACCUUGCAGUGUCCGACUGCAUACUCCCUGCACCCAAGGUGAGUUGUUCCAGACCUGCAGCCUGAAACUUUCAGGUCUCUAUGUCCCCACUGGCAUCAGUACCUGGAGAAGACACAGUUUUCAGAAGGUGAGGAAUUAGCCUGACAGUCCUGACCUUCUUUGUGUGAAACUGCACCUGCUGGGAAUUAGGAGUCUCCAAACUUUAAAAUAAACAAACGGAAAA